AAUUAUAGUUACAAUCAUAAGAUACAAACAAGUGAUCAUUCAUAAGAUACCAAUAGAAGGUAGUAGGAAAAAUGAGGAUAAAAGCAAUACAACCACACUACAUGGGUAAACAGCUUUAAAAUACAGCAAACGUUUAGCAGGGAAACGCUACUUUAACCUCAAAACAAUUUAGAAUGACUCAAGCCCGUCUUACUCAUGAGUUGAGAAGAGGUGGAGUUUUAAGAACAGGGGAGGAAAAAAUGUUGCCAAGGUAUUUUAUACUGCGAGUGCCGACAUGGCCUCUGGGCUUGCUUAGGCAAGCAUGCGCCAGCCCAUCCCCUCGAAUCCAAUGUUUUGGGCCGUCAGCAAUGGCAGCUUGGAAAUACUUUGAAGUGUGAAAUAUUUCCUUGUAACGGGGUUUAACCUCUUUAAUUCCCCCUCCUCCGAUUCCUGGGCUCGUCGCUUGUGAGAGGUCUUAGAGGCGCCCUUUCGCGAAGCUCUUUGCAAGCCAGAUUCGGCGGGGAAAGGGCUUUUGCUUGAAACAAAUUGAAUCUGGAGGUCCCGAAAUCCAAGGUGCAAAAGUCAGCCUCUGCGAGUCUGUACUCCGGAAGGAAGGGAAUUCUGCUUAAGGCUCCUUAGAAAGCGACAGAGAAAGCGCAAUUUUGAGCCAAGAACGGAGGCUCUUCUCUCUGUCAUUGGGGUUUGGGUCAUAAAAACCUGGAGGAGGUGAUCGGCUUCUUUAUUUGCUCAGUCACAAAGGUACACUUUUCUUCUGAUGCUGCUGCCCUUGAAAAA